rnacentral:tRNA from 1 species
AAGUGGGAAGCGAGGUUCGCAUUUGAUUUCGACUCAAACAAUCGGCUCUAAUAGGCCCCCACUCA